UUAGGUUUGCUGAGAGUAGGAGUAAAAUGGGAUAGGAAAUGAGAGAAGGAGAAAAAUGGACCUCCACAAUGGCGUGAGCGAGAGUACGACGGCGUGAACGAGAGUACGGUGGUGAAGGCCGUUAUUGGCGGCAGCAAGGGGUUGUCGGAAUGGUGGAGGUUGCACCGGUGAGGAUGGUGUUACAGUGGAUGGAAAUCGGGUUAGGUUUUUCUGAAUCGAGAGAGGAUCGUGGGAGAUCGUCGUGGUCGUGGCUUGAAGAUGGAACGCAGAAUGACGAUGCUCGAGUCGAAAGAUGAAGAGCGGAAGCGAAUCAAUUCCGAAAAGAUUACAACUCUGAGGUGGCUUUGAUGGAAUGGGAAGAAAAAGUAGGCUGUAAGACAGUACACUUGGAGGCGUGCUGGUCUUGGUCAUUAGAAAUAGGAACCUUUUUUUUUGCAGCAAACUUUACUUAGUUAAAAUGUAACUAUUUAGUUUAGUUUUUUUUAAGGGCAAAAUAUGUAUUUGGACUUAUGUAACUUAUUGAAUUAAAAGUCUAAUGGCCAUUGUAACUUGUUGGAUUUGAAAAAAAUUGAAUUAUUAAAGUGAAUUUGGG